rnacentral:lncRNA from 1 species
UCCCUCCCGCGCGCACAGCCACCCCCUGUUCGCCGCCCAUUUUUUUUCUCUCUUCUCCUUCCGUUCCCAGCCCAGCCGCACGCCUCCCUCUCUUCCCUUCCGUUCGCCGCAGCCCAUCCGUCGGCCGUCUCCCCUCUCCUUUCUCCUCUGUUUUCUGCACCGCCGCGUCUGUUCGUCAGCCGACAGUAAGACAACAUCGUGCUUCUUUUUCCAGCCACGAAUUUAAAGUCGAUCCAUGCCCAAAUCUUCUGCACAAUCUUGUUUGCUUUAGUUUUGUGCACCGCCGCCUCUACGUUGUUGUAAGUUUGUUUUAGUAAGGAUGAAAUUGAUGGGUUAUGAGGUUCUGCAUUGUAAAUACAUUGAAAUGUGAUGUUUGUUAUUUGGUUGAAUUGAUGUUAUUCUUGAAGGCGACAUCGGUUAUUUGGAGUUAGUGUCCUUGAGUUUCGCAGUAAACUUCGUUGGAGUUCGAUUCUUUACUCUUUGGGAUUUGAUUGCUGGAAUUAGUUCGACCAAGGAAUUUUGCAUAAAAAUCGAGGUAAGAGACUUUCUACUGGACCCAUAUGUGAAUUUAAAUGAUUAAAACCAUUUGACUGUAUAUGUGAAAUUGAGCAACUUAAAGGGAAUGACUGCUAAGAUUAAGUCGAUGUGGUUAAAGGGACUUAAUGGCUUUAGAUAGUUUUAUGUGUGUUGAUGAAAUGACUAAAUUAAAAAUGUUUGUUGUUUGAACUGAGGAUGGUUGACUCUUAUGUUAAAGAAUAGAUAGUAUACGACAGUAUACGUUUGAUUGGAAUGACUGAAUUGAGAUAAGUUGCACUUAUGUAUGAGUAUACCUAAUUGAGAAAUCGUUACGCUAAGGUCGGAUUAUGUGUUAGUAAGGGUUUUAUCUACUACUGGACUCAAUUACCGUUAUAUAUAUGUGUGUGUACUGAUGUAGACUGGUGUUGAAUGUGUACUGUAAAUGACUGGAACUAUGCAUAUACAUAAAUGAACGUAAACUUUGUGUUAAAUGCAUAUGAAGAUUGUCUGGGAUUAAAUAUGCAGGUGUGGUUGUAGACAGGACGAUUUUAGUAGAUCGUGUUGUAUAAAUUUUUGGAUGUGAACUCGUGAUUUUGACUGAUUUGGGUGUGGGUUAUAAUAUAAAGUGCGGCUUGUACUGGUGAACUGAGAGGUGUCAUGACUUUGUGGUUUGAUUGACUGAUGUAUUUAAUUGUUAUCAACGGUCUUUAGGCUAAAGUGAGAUAAGUUGACUGUUAGAAUGUUAAGUGAGAAAACUAUAUAUGUUGAAGUAAUGGAACGGUGUUAUAAAUGACUAUUAAGAUGUUUAGAAUGGAUUGAGGAAAAUUGUUAGUUUUUAUUGGGAUGUGUACCUUGUAGAUGUCCCACGGGAUCACCAAUUAUUAUGCACCCUUUGGGAGCAUUAGACUGAUAUGUGUUUCUGCAGAACACUAGACUGAAAUGUACGUCCCUCGAGGCGUUAGACUGAUACGUGUAUCCUACAGGAUCACAAGACUGUGACUGUGCAAGGUAUCCCAAUAGGACGUUAACAAUUUAUUUUUCCAUAACGGGACGAGUAGUGGGUCUCUUACUGAGUAUUUUUGUACUCACCCCUUUAUGUUUAAUUUUUCAGGCAAAAACAACAAAGGUGGCAAACCGGCGAGGGGCAGGAAGGAAGCGUGAUUUCCAUGGAUGGGAAAAUGUUAUUUUGCUUUCGUUUUAUGUUUUUUAUGUUUAAAACGCUAUGUUGAAACUUAGCUUACGAACUCUUUUUUGGUAAACAGUACUUUUUAAGUUUUGAAUAUUUGAAACCAGACCUAACUUAAAGUUGUUUUUUCUCAAUUGUAUGUUUUUUUUAAAUGCCUUACAUUUCAA